rnacentral:lncRNA from 1 species
AUCUAUCUAGGUUUGAAAAAACCUUUUUAGUGUCUUCUUCGUUUUACAACCAACUCUGUUUUGAGUUCUUGCAAAGAGCUGUUUCAUUUGAUAUAGUUAUAUGGUUGAAAAAAGGCUAGUCCAUGUGCUAAUAUGGAUUAUACAAAUAGGCCAGACUUGAAAGUAGCUAAAAAAAUUGGCAUUGACAACACCCCUACACACAAGUACAUAGGUUCACAAAAUAGACAGAGAAGUAACGAGACAACAAUCACAAAGUGUAUGAAACUAAGACGCACUAGAGAUGAACAAUAAGCUAAG